rnacentral:rRNA from 1 species
CCUACGGGAGGCAGCAGUGAGGAAUAUUGGUCAAUGGACGGAAGUCUGAACCAGCCAUGCCGCGUGCAGGAAGACGGCUCUAUGAGUUGUAAACUGCUUUUGUACAAGGGUAAACCUGAAUACGUGUAUUCAGCUGAAAGUACUGUACGAAUAAGGAUCGGCUAACUCCGUGCCAGCAGCCGCGGUAAUACGGAGGAUCCAAGCGUUAUCCGGAUUUAUUGGGUUUAAAGGGUGCGUAGGCGGAUUGAUAAGUUAGAGGUGAAAUGGCCGAGCUUAACUCGGGAACUGCCUCUAAUACUGUUGGUCUAGAGAGUAGAUGAGGUAGGCGGAAUGUAUGGUGUAGCGGUGAAAUGCUUAGAGAUCAUACAGAACACCGAUUGCGAAGGCAGCUUACCAAUCUAUAUCUGACGUUGAGGCACGAAAGCGUGGGGAGCAAACAGGAUUAGAUACCCUUGUGGUC